GACGAACGCUGGCGGCGUGCUUAACACAUGCAAGUCGAACGGAAAGGCCCUGCUUUUGUGGGGUGCUCGAGUGGCGAACGGGUGAGUAACACGUGAGUAACCUGCCCUUGACUUUGGGAUAACUUCAGGAAACUGGGGCUAAUACCGGAUAGGAGCUCCUGCUGCAUGGUGGGGGGUGGAAAGGUUCGGCGGUUGGGGAUGGACUCGCGGGUUAUCAGCUUGUUGGUGGGGUAGUGGCUUACCAAGGCUUUGCCGGGUAGCCGGCCUGAGAGGGUGACCGGCCACAUUGGGACUGAGAUAGGGCCCAGACUCCUACGGGAGGCAGCAGGGGGGAAUAUUGCACAAUGGGCGGAAGCCUGAUGCAGCAACGCCGCGUGCGGGAUGACGGCCUUCGGGUUGUAAACCGCUUUCGCCUGUGACGAAGAGUGAGUGACGGUAAUGGGUAAAGAAGCACCGGCUAACUACGUG
rnacentral:rRNA from 1 species